UGGGAUGAUGAUCUCCUAGACUAGAGUCUCUGAGUAACCAUGAAGAUGUUUCACAGUGCACUGACCA